rnacentral:rRNA from 1 species
UACGUAGGGGGCAAGCGUUGUCCGGAUUUACUGGGCGUAAAGCGCGUGUAGGCGGCGAGAUAAGUCUGCUGUGAAAGCUCUCGGCUUAACCGGGAGAGGUCGGUGGAAACUGUUUUGCUGGAGGACGGUAGAGGGGGGUGGAAUUCCCGGUGUAGUGGUGAAAUGCGUAGAUAUCGGGAGGAACACCAGCGGCGAAGGCGGCCCCCUGGGCCGGUCCUGACGCUGAGACGCGAAGGCCAGGGUAGCGAACGGG